AGGACCCUGGGACUUCAGAUAAGGCCAUGCCCUCUGUAGCAAGAUGUUUUACAACCUUCCAUAAACAGAUCUUCUUGUGUUACCAGACCACAGUAGAGAAAGAACACUUGACCAUGGGAUACCAAGUCUGGUGCUUCUGGUGGAUCAGAAGCCAUUGACAUAAUCUGGGAGCUUGUUAGAAAUGCAGAGAUGCAAUUUUCAAAACAGGAAGAUUUGGAUUUUUUGAAAUUACCAAAAUUCACUGGAAUUGUGAAUAUGAUCUCUCCAUAGUUCUCAGCUUUGCUGGAAUGAAACUGAGGUGAGACCUUCAUGUGGUGCCCUGAAAGUCUGAGGAAACUGCCACCCAACCCAUUCUUCUGUUUCUAAUCAAGGGAGCUCUUUUUAGCUGAGAAGUUCCCUCUUAGCACAGUGCAGUGCUGCCUUGGAGACAGGAUGA